ACACCGGCAGCUCUAGUGGUAGCUGUUUUUAUUGGGCCUAAAGCGGUCGUAGCCGGUUUGAUAAGUCACUGGUGAAAUCCUGUAGCUUAACUGUGGGAAUUGCUGGUGAUACUGUUGAACUUGAGGUCGGGAGAGGUUAGCGGUGCUCCCAGGGAAGAGGUGAAAUUCUGUAAUCCUGGGAGGACCACCUGUGGCGAAGGCGGCUAACUGGAACGAACCUGACGGUGAGGGACGAAAGCUAGGGGCGCGAACCGGAUUAGAUACCCGGGUAGUCCUAGCCGUAAACGAUGCGGACUUGGUGUUGGGAUGGCUUUGAGCCGCUCCGGUGCCGAGGGGAAGCUGUUGAGUCCGCCGCCUGGGAAGUACGGUCGCAAGACUGAAACUCAAAUGAAUUGACGGGG
rnacentral:rRNA from 1 species